rnacentral:rRNA from 1 species
UACCAGCACCCCGAGUGGUCGGGACGUUUAUUGGGCCUAAAGCAUCCGUAGCCGGUUCUACAAGUCUUCCGUUAAAUCCACCUGCUUAACAGAUGGGCUGCGGAAGAUACUAUAGAGCUAGGAGGCGGGAGAGGCAAGCGGUACUCGAUGGGUAGGGGUAAAAUCCGUUGAUCCAUUGAAGACCACCAGUGGCGAAGGCGGCUUGCCAGAACGCGCUCGACGGUGAGGGAUGAAAGCCAGGGUAGCGAACGGG